UUCAAAAGGAGUUAAUAAUUACUGUAUUUGCCAGCCCUCCUUUAAUUAUUUUGUCUCAUUAGGGCUUAUGGUGUUACAGUUUUUUUCUGUAAAGUACAAUUUAGGUCUCACAGGCUUUUACGCUAGUUUUAAAAUCAAUUACCACUCAUGAAAUAAUGAAGUAUUAUAUAAAUUAUUUGUGAUAGCUCAAUUAUUAGUAAGUGGUUGUCCUCAACUCUGAAAUAAUGAAGAGAAACAUUGUAAAAAUAAUUUUUACUGAGGGUAAUUGAGAUGGUCUGACUUUGUGAUGAGGCUGCCUUGAGUUUGAGAGCCAGAGAAUGGAAUUUGGGGAGAACUGGAGAGUGGGAAGAUUUUUCUGGAAAGAGUUCAUAGCUAAUGAUGAGUAGUUAGAAUCUUUGCAUUCCUACCAUCUAAAUGGUCUUAUUUUAUUUCUUUAUCUUGCAUUAGCAGAGAGCAGUGAGAUUGUUUGGAAAGUGAGCACAGUAUUUAAGUAUUAAAAUGGUAAGGAAAGUAGGUCAAGAAAGCUAAUUAUCACCUGAUAAGCAUUACCUAUUCUUGCAGAAAAUCUCCAAAAGAUAAUUAAAGGGCAGAAUCUUCUGCUUCUUGUUUAGUGCAUCAACUGCAAGCAGUUGUGGCUCCUAUUGCAAUAUAUAUUUGAUAUUGCUCAUGCUGCCAUUUGCUAACCUCAUUUUUUAUUUAGAUAGUCAAGUGAAA
rnacentral:lncRNA from 1 species